GAUGAACGCUGGCGGCGUGCCUAAUACAUGCAAGUCGAGCGAACAGACGAGGAGCUUGCUCCUCUGACGUUAGCGGCGGACGGGUGAGUAACACGUGGAUAACCUACCUAUAAGACUGGGAUAACUUCGGGAAACCGGAGCUAAUACCGGAUAAUAUAUUGAACCGCAUGGUUCAAUAGUUAAAGACGGUUUUGCUGUCACUUAUAGAUGGAUCCGCGCCGCAUUAGCUAGUUGGUAAGGUAACGGCUUACCAAGGCAACGAUGCGUAGCCGACCUGAGAGGGUGAUCGGCCACACUGGAACUGAGACACGGUCCAGACUCCUACGGGAGGCAGCAGUAGGGAAUCUUCCGCAAUGGGCGAAAGCUUGACGGAGCAACGCCGCGUGAGUGAUGAAGGUCUUCGGAUCGUAAAACUCUGUUAGUAGGGAAGAACAAAUGUGUAAGUAACUAUGCACGUCUUGACGGUACCUAAUCAGAAAGCCACGGCUAACUACGUG
rnacentral:rRNA from 1 species